GAGUGGCGCACGGGUGAGUAACGCGUACGCGACCUGCCCUCAAUGGGGAAAUAGCCCUGGGAAACCGGGAUUAAUGUCCCAUGUGAUUGUAUUUCUAAGUGGAUAUAAUUAAAGGAGCGAUCCGCUUGAGGAUGGGCGUGCGUGCUAUUAGCUAGUUGGUGAGGUAAUGGCUCACCAAUGCGACGAUAGCUAGGGGGCGUGAGAGCGUGACCCCCCACACGGGUACUGAGACACGGACCCGACUCCUACGGGAGGCAGCAGUAAUGAAUAUUGGACAAUGGGGGCAACCCUGAUCCAGCCAUCCCGCGUGCAGGAAGACGGCCCUAUGGGUUGUAAACUGCUUUUAUUAGGGAAGAAUAGCAUCAAUGAAUUGGUGUAUGACGGUACCUAAAGAAUAAGCACCGGCUAACUCCGUGCCAGCAGCCGCGGUAAUACGGAGGGUGCAAGCGUUAUCCGGAAUCACUGGGUUUAAAGGGUGCGUAGGUGGAAUAAUAAGUCAGGCGUGAAAGGUUACAGCUUAACUGUAGACUUGCGUUUGAUACUGUUAUUCUUGAAUUAAGAUGAGGUUGGCAGAAUGCGAC
rnacentral:rRNA from 1 species